UACGAAGGGGGCUAGCGUUGCUCGGAAUUACUGGGCGUAAAGCGCACGUAGGCGGCUUUCUAAGUCGGGGGUGAAAUCCUGGAGCUCAACUCCAGAACUGCCUUCGAUACUGGAGAGCUUGAGUCCGGGAGAGGUGAGUGGAACUGCGAGUGUAGAGGUGAAAUUCGUAGAUAUUCGCAAGAACACCAGUGGCGAAGGCGGCUCACUGGCCCGGUACUGACGCUGAGGUGCGAAAGCUAGGGGAGCAAACAGG
rnacentral:rRNA from 1 species